rnacentral:lncRNA from 1 species
AGAGAUACUGCAAGUACACAGGGUAGAUUUUACUCCUGAACUAAACUCAGUCAAAAGAAAAUACACCUUGCUCUACACACAAAUUAACAAUACCCAAACUUCAGCUAUAUUUUAAUACAAAGAAUAAAAGAGACAAAAACCCAAACUAAUGACCAGGCCACAAAUCAGAAUGUCUGGGGAGAGGUCCUCAGGUCCCACUCAUGGACAUUCACUCCAACAGCAAAAACACCUUCAAUGAAUUCUCUUGUUCUGUUAUCAUGAAAGACAUGAUAAGUCAAAUAAGAUGUACCUUAGUAAGUCUCUCUAAUACACAAGACCUUGCUGAAUAUGGAAUCCAAGAGCUGGAAGAUUAAGUGACUAGCCUUAAACAUUCAGAGAGUAUUAAAGAAAAGAAAAUGAGUAACUGUGUUCAGAAUAUACAAGAAUUUGGGGACAUUAAGAGACCAAAGAAUCAUUAGAAUUAAAAGGAUUGUGAAAUGCAGCUAAUGGAAUGGAUAGACUUUUUAGGGAAAUAACAGAAAAAUUAUCAAGCCUUAAGAAGGAGAUGGUCAUCCAGACACAGGGUGCAUUCAGAACCCCAAAUAAACAAAAUCAAAAAAGAGCCUUUCCACGACAAAUAAUUAAAAUGCCUAACAUACAGAACAAAAUAAAAUUUUAAAAGCCUCAAAAUAAAAAUAUCAGGUCACAUUUUUUAUUGAUUUUAAAAAAAUAAAUGCAGAGGAAUGCAUUACAAUUCUUAUUACACACAUACAGCAUAAUUUUUCAUAUCUCUGGUUGUAUAUAACGUAUGUCGACACCAAUUCAUGUCUUCAUACAUGUACUUUGGAUAAUAAUGUCCAUCAUAUUCCACCAUCCUUGCUAACUCCCUGCCCCCUCCCUUCCCCUCCCACUCCUCUGCCCUAUCUAGAGUUUAUAUAUUCCUCCCAUUCUUUCCCUCCCUACCCCACUAUAAAUCAGCUUCCUUAUAUCAGAGAAAAUAUUUGGCAUUUGUUUGGGGGGGAUUGGCUGACUUCACUUAGCAUUAUCUUCUCCAACGCCAUCUGUUUACCUGCAAAGCUCCACAGGACCCUAAAGAAAGAAACCAAAGAAGACCUUAGAAAAUAGAAAGAUCUACCUUGUUCUUGGAUAGGCAGAAUUAAUAUUAUCAAAAUGGCCAUACUACCAAAAUGACCAUACUACUACAGACUUAAUGCAUUUUGAUCAAAAUCCCAAUGGCAUUCCUCAUAGAAAUAGAAAAAGCAAUCAUGAUGAAACUCAUCUGGAAAUAUAAGAGACCCAGAAUAGCUAAAGCAAUUCUUAUCAGGUCACAUUUAGAGGCAAACCAAUCAGAAAUACUUUUAGUUUUUUCAAUAUAAACUCUAAAAGCCAGGAGGGCUUGGAAAGAUGUGUUCCAAGUUCUUAAAAAAAA